rnacentral:rRNA from 1 species
UACGUAGGGGGCAAGCGUUGUCCGGAUUUAUUGGGCGUAAAGAGCGUGUAGGCGGCUAUACAGGUCCGCUGUGAAAACUCGAGGCUCAACCUCGAGACGUCGGUGGAAACCGUAUGGCUAGAGUCCGGAAGAGGAGAGUGGAAUUCCUGGUGUAGCGGUGAAAUUCGUAGAUAUUCGCAAGAACACCAGUGGCGAAGGCGGCUCACUGGCCCGGUACUGACGCUGAGGUGCGAAAGCGUGGGGAGCAAACAGGG